GAUGAACGCUAGCUACAGGCUUAACACAUGCAAGUCGAGGGGUAACGAGAGGAAAGCUUGCUUUCCUUGUCGACGACCGGCGCACGGGUGAGUAACGCGUAUCCAACCUGCCCCCAACUAAGGAAUAACCUUGCGAAAGUAAGACUAAUACCUUAUAAUUUCCUCAGAUGUCAUCUGACGAGGAAUAAAGAUUUAUCGGUUGUGGAUGGGGAUGCGUCUGAUUAGCUUGUUGGCGGGGUAACGGCCCACCAAGGCAACGAUCAGUAGGGGUUCUGAGAGGAAGGUCCCCCACAUUGGAACUGAGACACGGUCCAAACUCCUACGGGAGGCAGCAGUGAGGAACAUUGGUCAAUGGGCGGAAGCCUGAAUCAGCCAAGUAGCGUGCAGGAUGACGGCCCUAUGGGUUGUAAACUGCUUUUAUACAGGAAUAAAGUUAGCCACGUGUGGUUAUUCGUAGGUACUGUAUGAAUAAGGACCGGCUAAUUCCGUGCCAGCCGCCGCGGUAA
rnacentral:rRNA from 1 species